rnacentral:rRNA from 1 species
UACGGAGGGGGCUAGCGUUGUUCGGAAUUACUGGGCGUAAAGCGCACGUAGGCGGCGCGUUAAGUCGGGUGUGAAAGCCCUGGGCUCAACCCAGGAAGUGCAUUCGAAACUGGCGCGCUUGAAUAUGGAAGAGGGUCGCGGAAUUCCCGGUGUAGAGGUGAAAUCCGUAGAUAUUAGGAGGAACACCGGUGGCGAAGGCGGCUACCUGGACCGAUAUUGACGCUGAGACGCGAAAGCGUGGGGAGCAAACAGG